rnacentral:sRNA from 2 species
GAACCGAAAGAGCAGAAAGGCUAGGACAGCAGCGGGGAAACCAACUUCGGGAGCCGCAUGGCUUCCUUGGGGUUAAUUCGGGCCCACCCCCAGUGGGUCCGGACGGGCGAUCCCCUGCACCCAUUCGCCAACGCCAUCGGCGCUGGAGUGGGUCGCGCCCGAACCCGACAGCUCACCUCGCAGGCGUAGCUAGGGGAAACA